rnacentral:rRNA from 1 species
GACGAACGCUGGCGGCGUGCCUAAUACAUGCAAGUCGAACGCUGAAGGAGGAGCUUGCUUCUCUGGAUGAGUUGCGAACGGGUGAGUAACGCGUAGGUAACCUGCCUGGUAGCGUGGGAUAACUAUUGGAAACGAUAGCUAAUACCGCAUAAUAGUAGAUGUUGCAUGACAUUUGCUUAAAAGGUGCAAUUGCAUCACUACCAGAUGGACCUUCGUUGUAUUAGCUAGUUGGUGUGGUAACGGCUCACCAAGGCAACGAUACAUAGCCGAACUGAGAGGGUGGUCGGCCACACUGGGACUGAGACACGGCCCAGACUCCUACGGGAGGCAGCAGGAGGGAAACUUCGGCAAUGGACGGAAGUCUGACCGAGCAACGCCGCGUGAGUGAAGAAGGGUUUCGGAUCGUAAAGCUCGGUUGUAAGAGAAGAACGAGUGUGAGAGUGGAAAGUUCACACUGUGACGGUAGCUUACAAGAAAGGGACGGCUAACUACGUG